AAAUGAUGUUCUGAAACAUUUCUAUCUUGAUGCCCGUAAACCAGAUGGAGAAAUGUAUAAAGUAAAUUCCCUGGAUUCAUUCCGAUACUCUCUAAAUAGAUAUAUAAAGGCUCCCCCUUUUUUAAAGGAAUUUGACAUUAUGAAACAUGAAGCCUUUAAUGAAUCAAACCAAGUAUUUAAAACCGCCCUUACAGAAUUGAAAGCCAACGGAAAAGGAGCCACACAGCACUUUCCAAUAAUAUCAGAAAUUGACAGGACAAAAUUGUACUCUUCAACUUUUAUGCAAACACACUCCC
rnacentral:lncRNA from 1 species